GCCAGAGUAAUUGGAGUUCAUGCCUUCUCUUAUCAGCUUAAUCAGUGGGUUGAUAAAUUGCAGUACUCCAACAUUC
rnacentral:miRNA from 1 species